rnacentral:lncRNA from 1 species
AGGGAAGGUCCGCACCGCUGCGAGGGGUCACGGUCCGCGAGCUGCGCGCGUCCGGGCCCAUGGGUCUCCAUGGCGACGGCGGGAGCCCGGCAGCCGGAGCGGGGCCGUGGCGCUCCGGGGCCCUCCGCGGCAGCGUGGCCGUGUUCGCCUCCGUGGCUGCCGUGUUCACCCUCACGCUGCCCCGCUCGCUGCCUGGGGGAGACUCGGGUAAAGUACUCGCAGGCCGCCCUCCUCCCCGCCCCCCUGCCUCCGGGUGCCGCCGCCUCGGUGUCCCGGCCCCGCGUCCCCUCGCUGGAGCUCCGUGCACGGUUCUGAAUUCCAGAACCAGUUCUCUUUCCGGUUCUGGAUCUUGGUCUCUGUGUUCUCGAGCUGCUCAGCCGAUGAAAUUUAACCACUGUCCACUUUGCCCGGAUCGUUGUUACCUGUAUCACCUGUCGUGCCCUUACAGUGUCACAGACAAAAAAAGAUUGACAGUAGUUAACAAAUAGCAUGGAGCGUUCUACUGUGUUUAGAGACGACACAACGGGUUAUUAAAUAAACUACAUUUUAAGUAGUGGUGAGUUACGGAGGCACUAAGGGAGAAUGUGGUUGGAGUGGUAAUGAGUAGAUUCCUCAGAAGGUCAGGAAAGGCUACCUUGGAGGUGUAUUAGUUAGAACCUGAAUAUUAAGGAACCAGCCAUGCAGAAAAUUUAGAGGGGAACUCAUAAAAGGGAAUGCAACUGAAAGCACCCCUCUUCCUGUGAAAAUGAAAGACAGGUUUCACACAGAUUAAGCUAGGGCAUACUUUUCACAUAUCUGAGUCUAGAAACAAGUCCCUGGUUUGGUUUGGUUUUUACAGCCAGAUAAAGUGAUCAAUAAUUUCUCAUAAUAAUCAGCCGUGUUUUCAGAAUGGUUCUGUAAUGGAACAGUCAAACCGUUUCCUGAAGAGCCCAUGAGCUGUUUAUAAUUUCACUACCUGACAAGUUCACCCGGAUUUGGUGGCUGCAGGGGGGAGCAUUUAUCAUCUGUCUGUGGAUCAGUAUCUCUAGGUGCAGUUUAGCCGGAUUCACUAACACAAGACAAGGUGGGGGCCAGGGUUGCAACUUCUCAGGACCCUGUUUAGGGAGUAUCUACUUCCAAACUUAAGUCUAGCCCUAUAUCCCAUGUGGCUCUCUUCAUAAAAUAGCUGAUUCCUGUCAAAAGCAAGAGAGCAUUCUGUCACCUCUGUCAUUUUUGAGACCUAAUCCUGGAAGUGAUAUGCCACUGCCCUGUUUUAUUGGAGAGAGUCGGUAAAUCUAGACCAGUUCAAAGGGGAGAGGAUUACACGGCAAGAAAGCCCUGAGAUGGGGAUUACCAGGACUGUCUUCAAGAUUGCCUGCCACGGAGAGAAGCCUCCAUCUCCAUUUUCAGGUCAUCUCUUCCCGGUUCCACUGAACACUUAGUGGGGGUGGUGUUUCAUUAGCAUAGCUGGGAAUGGAGUUACCAAUUUCCUAAGAUUAAUGUUAAAAAAUGAAGGAGUUUUAGGGUAGCAAGGGAUUUGAUAAAGGAGAGUUUAGAGGUUACAUAGCUCUGUACCCAUUAAAAAGUAUCAAACAAUUUAUUUGAGCCACAAAUACAGGAUAAGAAGAAUAACAUUGCAUUUACUGUACAGCACUCAUUGUUCCAAGUGCCUUUUAUGGAGUUUUACCCUCCCAGCUGUCCUAGAAGGUAGGUAAUAUAUCUUUGUAGAUGAGAAAAGGCUAACCUACAUGCAAAGUCACAGUGAGUGAGGGUCUUCUGAGAAGGACUUACAGAUUGAUGCUGGAACAGUCUUCUUAAUGCGUAUGCGAAAGAGUUUGGUGGCAUUGUUAAAUUAUCCAUCCAUCACACAUAGUGAAAAUAAAUUUGAAGUUGUUGCCUUUUUAAAUUCUGUAUUUCAUGUGUUACCAAAAGAAUAAAGUUGUGUGUUAUCUGAUUUACCAGACUUCUGAUAUGUUCUGCUUUGUUUACUGUAUGCUAAGUAGCGCUUGCUUCUGAUAUUUCAUGGUCAUUUUCAGGAACCAUCAGUGAGUUCUUUGCAACUAUGUGCCAGUGUGGACAUUUUGUUUAAGGUUACUUUCGACCAUAUUGUUUCUGUGAUGUACUUGAAUACUUAUGAAUAUAUAUUCUGUCAAUAAACAGAAUACAUCUC